rnacentral:tRNA from 1 species
ACCCGGGUGGCUCAGUCGGUUGAGCAUCUGACUUCGGCUCAGGUCAUGAUCUCAUGGUUCGUGGGUUCGAACCACACAUCAGGCU